UUGCAGAGGACAUAUAUUACAAGGACUGUUCUCAACUUACUGAAGAAGUCUAUUCAAUUCACAAAUCUGCUACACUGAAAUUUUCUUCCAUUCCUUGUGUGCUGUGCAGGACUUUAAUCUUGGGAUGAUGAUAUUUUCUCUUCUGCAUGUGUCCAUUUCAAGAUGUGCAAUUAUUGAUUCCAGAUGGUUUUUCUGCAGUUAAAAACAGUAUGACAACUUUUGAAGCAUGAGGAGCUAUUGCUCAUGUGAGACCUGACCUUAUUUCCAUGUGGUAUGCAGGACUUCAGUGGAUCUGUUAUGAUUGCCAUUUCCUAUUGAAUUGUCAUGACGAACUUGAAGAGAUACCAUCCAGGAUGCAGGUGUUCAGGUCAAAGAAGAGAGGAGGAAGUUCAAAGGCAUUCCCUCCCAACCAUUCCUGAUGACAUAAUACCAGCACACUGUGUCAUAGGAAGUCUCUAAAACGCCCAUGCUCGGGUGUACUCACUCUGUGAAACACAUUUUAUUGCAGUAUUACACAUGAAAGUCAAAGGAAAAAAGUAGUCAUCUGUAACUGAAAAUAACCUAAUUUGUUCAGAUCUACUGGGAAUGCAUGCUCUAUUUUACAAUAAUUUUAAACUUUAUCUUGUAUAAGAUAGACAUUAGCUUCAUCAGCUUAUCCACUUUUUCCCUGCAAAUUGCAAUAAA